AUACUUAGCUGGCAGGGGAGAUACCAUGAGGGUGGUUUUCGCAAGACGAGGCUUAUGCAUUGCACUCCAGAUGUACUGACCUCUGCAAUUUCCCCAAACAUGGGAAACUUGUCUGGAUAAUUUGUGAUGGGGGGCUGGAAUUGCAUUCACGUUCUCU